rnacentral:lncRNA from 1 species
CUAUGACUUAAAUGUUUAGUAAAAAAUGUUUUUUAAAAUAGUACUACCGAACACAUAUUUUCUGUUUUUAUCUUUUUCACUUGUGUCUACUGAACACAUAUUAUUAUUUUAAGUUUUAAAAUACAGAAUACAUAAAAUAAUACCUGACGCAUAUUUAAAUUUGAAACAUAACAACUGUAAAAUAUUAUUCUCAUUUUCAUUUUUAUUUUCAGGAAAUAUUAAUUCAGAAACAAUACCAAACGGGCCAAAUGAACUUGGAAGUACAUACGUGGUGGUAAGAUUAAAUUUAAAAAUUUAAAUAGCUUCUGUUUUGCCAGUGCCGGCAGUGCAAAUUAAUCUUCCAUACAUGCUUUAACUGAAAAUUGUUCUUGAUUCAGGUGACAAUUUUGGUGGUUGCUGGACGUAAAGGUGACAAUAUAUUUUGGCAGCAAGACCACCACUGACAGCAAGAAAGACUUGAGAAGGACCUUGGAGCAUCUUCAGUACAUAUCUGACAAUGCGAAUUAAGAAACAUGUAAAUAUUUAUAGUCUUCUAUCACAAGCUUAGGCCUUACCGUCUAGUUCAUUAACUAAUUGUGGUAAUUAAUCUAAUAUGCUUCAAUUGAUAUUAGAAUAUGCAUGUUCGGUAUUUUUAUUAAUUCCAUGCAGGCGAUUAGUGUUUUUUUUUUUUUUGUUCGAAUGGAGAUACGGCCGCAGAGAAAUGUAAAACAAAGAUCAAAAGUUCAAAACCUAUGUAAAGAGCUGAAUCUUUCAUCCGGGGGGGGGGGGGGGGGGGAGCAACAGUUGAGCAAUGCAGAAGUGAACUCAAAGAAGAAAGAAGAACAGCAAGAAAGGAAGAAGAGCACAAAGACAAAAAAGAACAAGAAAAAGCAUAAAACGAAGAGCACAAAGAUUAAGCGAGAGACGAAGAAGCAACAGUCAUCAUUCAAGACAAAUCCAAGACAAUAAACUGUAAAGCAAUCUUCACAAUUUUAAGUCAUUGCAGUUCUUCUUCAAUCCGCAUAAAUUAAACAAUGUCAAAACCAAUAGUAUAUAUGUUUCUUGCUCAAAUCUGCCCACACUUAACACAGAAUAUGGUCGCAACUUGCUGUUAUAGGCAUAUAUAACUUCUUUAGUAGCCCUUUUUUUGUUCUUUUUUCCGAAUUUGAACGUUAAGACUCACAGAAGGCGAAUUAUCCAAUAUUUAUACAGUGUUUAAAUAUUUUGGGCCUGUGAACGUUGCUCGUUCACAUUCGAGCAUUUCCAAUAAACAAAAAGACGCAUUGUGUCCGUAAACCAUAAUGCUGACAACUCGCACAACUGUAAAGUUCUAUCAACAAGAAAUAAGCUUUCCCCAUUUUUCAAUUUAAUAUAUCAUACCUUUAUGGGAAGACUGAAGAAACGGCGAAGAGUCAAAGGAUAGGUUGAGUAGAUUGACCUUUUAGGCCAUAGGCCAAUGAGAAAUAGACACGAGUUACCAAACAUCGUGGCUCGCAGACGUUACAAUCUCACAUAAUCCAAGAAGCCAACUACGCGCGCGGUGUAUCUUUUGGGUUGUUGUUCUUAAUAUAAUUAAAUAACACUUCAAAUUCUAAAAUUAAUUUUUCAUCUCCUUUAAUAAUUUUUUUUCAAUAGGAUCUCAUUUAAUAAUCUUUUUGUUGAAAAGAGAGGACCCCGUGAGUGGACUUCGCACAUUUGUCUGCCACAAAACAAACUCUCUGCCUGUACUACUUUCAUCAUCCUUCCCUCUUUUCUUCUGCUUUUACCUAUUUACCCUCGACUCAUUUUUUUUGCCUAAUUUCUCUUCAGUCCUGGCAAGUCCGACUAAUGUGGAUCACGAAGUGAGUUUAGUGAGAGGAUUUAAAAUAAAAUUUGGAAGUUUCUUUUUAUAAAAGCUUGUAAACUUGGUUCAAUUCAUUAAAAUAAAAAUUUAAAAAUUACAUGUAAAAAUCUUAUCAAGAAAAUGCUG